GACGAACCGUGCGAACGUUGUUCGGAAUCACUGGGCUUAAAGGGUGCGUAGGCGGGCGAUCAAGUCAGGGGUGAAAUCCUCCAGCUUAACUGGAGAACUGCCUUUGAUACUGGUCAUCUUGAGUGAGGUAGGGGCGUGCGGAACUGAUGGUGGAGCGGUGAAAUGUGUUGAUAUCAUCAGGAACUCCGGUGGCGAAGGCAAGGUGCUGGACCCUUUCUGACGCUGAGGCGCGAAAGCCAGGGGAGCGAACGGG
rnacentral:rRNA from 1 species